rnacentral:rRNA from 1 species
AGAGUUUGAUCCUGGCUCAGGACGAACGCUGGCGGCGUGCUUAACACAUGCAAGUCGAACGGUAAGGCCCUUCGGGGUACACGAGUGGCGAACGGGUGAGUAACACGUGGGUAAUCUGCCCUGCACAUCGGGAUAAGCCUGGGAAACUGGGUCUAAUACCGAAUAGGACCACAGGACACAUGUCCUGUGGUGGAAAGCUUUUGCGGUGUGGGAUGGGCCCGCGGCCUAUCAGCUUGUCGGUGGGGUGAUGGCCUACCAAGGCGACGACGGGUAGCCGGCCUGAGAGGGUGUCCGGCCACACUGGGACUGAGAUACGGCCCAGACUCCUACGGGAGGCAGCAGUGGGGAAUAUUGCACAAUGGGCGAAAGCCUGAUGCAGCGACGCCGCGUGGGGGAUGACGGCCUUCGGGUUGUAAACCUCUUUCACCAUCGACGAAGGUCCGGGUUUUCUCGGGCUGACGGUAGGUGGAGAAGAAGCACCGGCCAACUACGUGCCAGCAGCCGCGGUAAUACGUAGGGUGCGAGCGUUGUCCGGAAUUACUGGGCGUAAAGAGCUCGUAGGUGGUUUGUCGCGUUGUUCGUGAAAUCUCACGGCUUAACUGUGAGCGUGCGGGCGAUACGGGCAGACUUGAGUACUGCAGGGGAGACUGGAAUUCCUGGUGUAGCGGUGGAAUGCGCAGAUAUCAGGAGGAACACCGGUGGCGAAGGCGGGUCUCUGGGCAGUAACUGACGCUGAGGAGCGAAAGCGUGGGGAGCGAACAGGAUUAGAUACCCUGGUAGUCC